GAUGAACGCUGGCGGCGUGCCUAAUACAUGCAAGUCGAGCGAACAGACGAGGAGCUUGCUCCUCUGACGUUAGCGGCGGACGGGUGAGUAACACGUGGAUAACUCACCUAUAAGACUGGGAUAACUUCGGGAAACCGGAGCUAAUACCGGAUAAUAUAUUGAACCGCAUGGUUCAAUAGUGAAAGACGGUUUUGCUGUCACUUAUAGAUGGAUCCGCGCCGCAUUAGCUAGUUGGUAAGGUAACGGCUUACCAAGGCAACGAUGAGUAGCCGCCCUGAGAGGGUGAACGGCCACACUGGAACUGAGACGCGGUCCAGACUCCUACGGGAGGCAGCGGUAGAGAAUCUUCCGCAAUGGGCGAAAGCCUGACGGAGCAACGCCGCGUGAGGGAUGAAGGUCUUCGGAUCGUAAAACUCUGUUAUUAGGAAAGAACAAAUGUGUAAGUAACUAUGCACGUCUUGACGGUACCUAAUCAAAAAGCCACGGCUAACUACGUG
rnacentral:rRNA from 1 species